GACGAACGCUGGCGGCGUGCUUAACACAUGCAAGUCGAACGGAAAGGCCCUGCUUUUGUGGGGUGCUCGAGUGGCGAACGGGUGAGUAACACGUGAGUAACCUGCCCUUGACUUUGGGAUAACUUCAGGAAACUGGGGCUAAUACCGGCUAGGCGCUCCUGCUGCAUGGUGGGGGUUGGAAAGUUUCGGCGGUUGGGGAUGGACUCGCGGCUUAUCAGCUUGUUGGUGGGGUAGUGGCUUACCAAGGCUUUGACGGGUAGCCGGCCUGAGAGGGUGACCGGCCACAUUGGGACUGGAAUACGGCCCAGACUCCUACGGGAGGCAGCAGUGGGGAAUAUUGCACAAUGGGCGGAAGCCUGAUGCAGCAACGCCGCGUGCGGGAUGACGGCCUUCGGGUUGUAAACCGCUUUCGCCUGUGACGAAGCGUGAGUGACGGUAAUGGGUAAAGAAGCACCGGCUAACUACGUG
rnacentral:rRNA from 1 species